rnacentral:rRNA from 1 species
AACGAACGCUGGCGGCAUGCCUAACACAUGCAAGUCGAACGAGACCUUCGGGUCUAGUGGCGCACGGGUGCGUAACGCGUGGGAACCUGCCCUUAGGUUCGGAAUAACUCCCCGAAAGGGGUGCUAAUACCGGAUAAUGUCUUCGGACCAAAGAUUUAUCGCCUUUGGAUGGGCCCGCGUUGGAUUAGCUAGUUGGUAGGGUAAAAGCCUACCAAGGCGACGAUCCAUAGCUGGUCUGAGAGGAUGAUCAGCCACACUGGGACUGAGACACGGCCCAGACUCCUACGGGAGGCAGCAGUGGGGAAUCUUGGACAAUGGGCGAAAGCCUGAUCCAGCAAUGCCGCGUGAGUGAUGAAGGCCUUAGGGUUGUAAAGCUCUUUUACCCGGGAUGAUAAUGACAUUACCGGGAGAAUAAGCUCCGGCUAACUCCGUG